rnacentral:rRNA from 1 species
UACGUAGGGGGCAAGCGUUGUCCGGAUUCAUUGGGCGUAAAGAGCGUGUAGGCGGCCAGGUAGGUCGGUUGUGAAAACUGGAGGCUCAACCUUCAGAGGUCGACCGAAACCAUCUGGCUAGAGUCCGGGAGAGGAGAGUGGAAUUCCUGGUGUAGCGGUGAAAUGCGCAGAUAUCAGGAGGAACACCGGUGGCGAAGGCGGCCUGCUGGGCAGUGGCUGACGCUGAGGCGCGACAGCGUGGGGAGCAAACAGG